UGGUCAGAAGGGGUCAGUGGUGCGGCCAGUUGGGUUCAUGGGAUGGUCAGUUGGUCAGUGGAUGGUCAGUGUGGCCAGGGUGUGGUCAGUGUGGCCAGGGUGUGGUCAGUGUGGUCAGGGUGUGGUCAGUGUGCUCAGGGUGUGGCCAGGGUGUGGUCAGGGUGUGGUCAGGGUGGUCAGGGUGCUCAGGGUGUGGUCAGUGUGUGGUCAGUGUGGUCAGUGUGGUCAGGGUGUGGUCAGUGUGGUCAGGGUGUGGCUGGGGUGUGGUCAGGUUGCUCAGGGUGUGGUCAGGGUGCUCAGGGUGUGGCCGGGGUGUGGUCAGGGUGUGGUCAGGGUGUGGUCAGGGUGUGGUCAGGGUGUGGCCGGAGCUCCGGCCGCUCUCACCGUCCAGGUCCAUCACCUCCCUCAUGGCGCUGACCACAGGGUCGGGUCUGAGCACGAGGCACAGCACGGCUGGGGGGGAGGGGACACCAGUGACCACCAGUGACCACCAGUGACCACCCUGGGGUGACCCCCGGGGUCCAGGGGUGGCCCCGCGGGGGUCAGGGGGGGCUGGGGGGGGGGGGGGGGGG
rnacentral:lncRNA from 12 species